rnacentral:rRNA from 1 species
GAUGAACGCUGGCGGCGUGCCUAAUACAUGCAAGUCGAGCGAACGGGCGAGAAGCUUGCUUUUUUGAUGUUAGCCGCGCACGGGUGAGUAACACGUGGAUAACCUACCUAUAAGACUGAUAUAACCUCGGGAAACCGGAGCUAAUACCGGAGAAGAUUCUGAACCGCAUGGUUCAAUAGUGAAAGACGGUCGUUCUGUCACGUAUAGAUGGAUCCGCGCUGCAUUAGAUAGUUGGGAAGGUAACGGCUUACCAAGGCAACGAUGCAUAGCCGACCUGAGAGGGUGAUCGGCCACACUGGAACUGAGACACGGUCCAGACUCCUACGGGAGGCAGCAGUAGGGAAUCUUCCGCAGUAGUCGAAAGCAUGGCGGAGCAGCGCGGCGUCAGUGGUGGCGAUCUUCGGAUCGUAAUAAUGUGUUAUGAGUUAUGAACAUCUGUGUAAUUAACUGUGCACAUCGUGACGGUAAUUAAUCAGAAAGCCACGGCUAACUACGUG